CAGUCGCCGCGGUAAUACGGAGGGAGCUAGCGUUGUUCGGAAUUACUGGGCGUAAAGCGCACGUAGGCGGCUUUGUAAGUUAGAGGUGAAAGCCUGGAGCUCAACUCCAGAACUGCCUUUAAGACUGCAUUGCUUGAAUCCAGGAGAGGUGAGUGGAAUUCCGAGUGUAGAGGUGAAAUUCGUAGAUAUUCGGUAGAACACCAGUGGCGAAGGCGGCUCACUGGACUGGUAUUGACGCUGAGGUGCGAAAGCGUGGGGAGCAAACAGGAUUAGAUACCCCUGUAGUCCCUGUCUCUUAUAC
rnacentral:rRNA from 1 species